GACGAACGCUGGCGGCGUGCUUAACACAUGCAAGUCGAACGGAAAGGCCCUGCUUUUGUGGGGUGCUCGAGUGGCGAACGGGUGAGUAACACGUGAGUAACCUGCCCUUGACUUUGGGAUAACUUCAGGAAACUGGGGCUAAUACCGGAUAGGAGCUCCUGCUGCAUGGUGGGGGUUGGAAAUUUUCGGCGGUUGGGGAUGGACUCGCGGCUUAUCAGCUUGUUGGUGGGGUAGUGGCUUACCAAGGCUUUGACGGGUAGCCGGCCUGAGAGGGUGACCGGCCACAUUGGGACUGAGAUACGGCCCAGACUCCUACGGGAGGCAGAAGUGGGGAAUAUUGCACAAUGGGCGGAAGCCUGAUGCAGCAACGCCGCGUGCGGGAUGACGGCCUUCGGGUUGUAAACCGCUUUCGCCUGUGACGAAGCGUGAGUGACGGUAAUGGGUAAAGAAGCACCGGCUAACUACGUG
rnacentral:rRNA from 1 species